AGUUUGAUCUUCCCUCAGGAUGAACGCUGGCGGCGUGCCUAACACAUGCAAGUCGAGCGAGAAGCUACCGACUGACACUUCGGUAGAGGGAGCUAGUGGAGAGCGGCGGACGGGUGAGUAACGCGUAGGCAACCUGCCCUUCACCCAGGGACAGCCUCCGGAAACGGGGAUUAAUACCUGAUGACCCGGUAGUGACACAUGUCACCAUCGGCAAAGAUUUAUUGGUGAGGGAUGGGCCUGCGUCUGAUUAGUUAGUUGGUGAGGUAACGGCUCACCAAGGCGACGAUCAGUAGCCGACCUGAGAGGGUGACCGGCCACAUUGGAACUGAGACACGG
rnacentral:rRNA from 1 species